CAACUUUCCAACACAAAAAAAAAGCAGCAAUAAAAACAAUCUUUAAUGUGCUUUCAUGUUAUGACUGAGUGCAAUCUUGAACUCUUGGUGCUCUUUUUGAUAUUUCUAGAAAGAGAAACAUUCGUUUUACUUAAGAAUUUGAUUAACGAUCGCAGUGCCCCCUGUCGCAUAUUGUAGAACUACAACUCCAAAUCAUCGCCGUCAUAUUGUUAAAGCUAAGCCUAGUUCUAUGCGGUUGGAAUGAGACGUUGACCAACAAGAUGGAUGCGAAUGUUAGGAAUAUGGAAAAAGUUGUUAAGAAAGAAGAAACUAAAAUGUUCUAUUUAUGAAGAAUUUGGAUGAAUAACUUCAGAUGACA